CGGCGAGUGGCGAACGGGUGAGUAAUACAUCGGAACGUGUCCUGUAGUGGGGGAUAGCCCGGCGAAAGCCGGAUUAAUACCGCAUACGAUCUACGGAUGAAAGCGGGGGAUCGCAAGACCUCGCGCUAUAGGGGCGGCCGAUGGCGGAUUAGCUAGUUGGUGGGGUAAAGGCCCACCAAGGCGACGAUCCGUAGCUGGUCUGAGAGGACGACCAGCCACACUGGGACUGAGACACGGCCCAGACUCCUACGGGAGGCAGCAGUGGGGAAUUUUGGACAAUGGGCGCAAGCCUGAUCCAGCAAUGCCGCGUGUGUGAAGAAGGCCUUCGGGUUGUAAAGCACUUUUGUCCGGAAAGAAAUCCUCUGGGUUAAUACCCCGGGGGGAUGACGGUACCGGAAGAAUAAGCACCGGCUAACUACGUGCCAGCAGCCGCGGUAAUACGUAGGGUGCGAGCGUUAAUCGGAAUUACUGGGCGUAAAGCGUGCGCAGGCGGUGAUGUAAGACCGAUGUGAAAUCCCCGGGCUUAACCUGGGAACUGCAUUGGUGACUGCAUCGCUGGAGUAUGGCAGAGGGGGGUAGAAUUCACGUGUAGCAGUGAAAUGCGUAGAGAUGUGGAGGAAUACCGAUGGCGAAGGCAGCCCCUGGGCCCAUACUGACGCUCAUGCACGAAAGC
rnacentral:rRNA from 1 species